rnacentral:ncRNA from 1 species
GGACCAGGGGAAUCCAACUAUUUAAUUAAAACAAAGCAUCGCAAAGGCCCAUGGCAGGUGUUGACACAGUGUGAUUUCUGCCCAGUGCUCUGAAUGUUCAAGUGAAGAAAUUCAAUGAAGUGCAGGUAAAUGACUCUCUCAAGGAACCUAAUGCUUCAUUAUAUAAUUAGUACGGUGCAUGAAUGGAUGAACCAGAUUCCC